rnacentral:snRNA from 1 species
GUGCCCCUCCUGCAGCACAGACACUAAAAUUGGAGUGACACAGAGAACGUUAGGAUGGGCCCCACAUAAGGAUGAAACACAAAUUUGUGAAGCAUUCCAUAUAUUG